rnacentral:rRNA from 1 species
UACGUAGGCAGCGAGCGUUGUUCGGAAUUACUGGGCGUAAAGAGUGUGUAGGCGGUGCUCCCAGUCUGUUGUGAAAUCUCCCGGCUUAACUGGGAGGGUGCAGCGGAAACUAGAGUGCUAGAGGGUGGGAGAGGUAAGCGGAAUUCCUGGUGUAGCGGUGAAAUGCGUAGAUAUAGGAAGGAACACCAGUGGCGAAGGCGACCACCUGGACUGAUACUGACACUGAGGUGCGAAAGCGUGGGGAGCAAACAGG